AUUGAACGCUGGCGGCAUGCUUUACACAUGCAAGUCGAACGGCAGCGCGGGCUUCGGCCUGGCGGCGAGUGGCGAACGGGUGAGUAAUGCAUCGGAACGUGCCCAGUAGUGGGGGAUAGCCCGGCGAAAGCCGGAUUAAUACCGCAUACGACCUGAGGGUGAAAGCGGGGGACCGAAAGGCCUCGCGCUAUUGGAGCGGCCGAUGUCGGAUUAGCUAGUUGGUGGGGUAAAGGCUUACCAAGGGGACGAUCCGUAGCUGGUCUGAGAGGACGACCAGCCACAUGGGGACUGAGACACGGCCCAGGCCCCUAGGGGGGGCAGGAGUGGGGAAUUUUGGAAAAUGGGGGCAACCCUGACCCAGCCAUGCCGGGGGGGGGAAGAAGGCCUUCGGGUUGUAAACCGCUUUUGUUCGGGAAGAAAUCCUCUGGGCUAAUACCCCGGGGGGAUGACGGUACCGGAAGAAUAAGCACCGGCUAACUACGU
rnacentral:rRNA from 1 species